GUGUCAGCAGCCGCGGUAAUACGUAGGGGGCGAGCGUUGUCCGGAAUGACUGGGCGUAAAGGGCGCGUAGACGGCUGUCUAAGUCUGGAGUGAAAGUCCUGCUUUCAAGGUGGGAAUUGCUUUGGAGACUGGAUGGCUUGAGUGCGGAAGAGGUAAGUGGAAUUCCCAGUGUAGCGGUGAAAUGCGUAGAGAUUGGGAAGAACACCAGUGGCGAAGGCGACUUACUGGGCCGUAACUGACGUUGAUGCGCGAAAGCGUGGGGAGCGAACAGGAUUAGAUACCCUGGUAGUCC
rnacentral:rRNA from 1 species